UCUGCUCUGCCGAUAAUGCAAGCGUAGAAGAAGAAAUGUGCUGUUUACCUGUGCAAAGAAAGAAACAACGAAAGAAAAAUGUCUGAGGACUUCAGUGUUGAGGAAGAGCAUGAGUUCUUUGCCGAGCCUUUUCUCUAUGAACCAGAAUACACAGAUGACGAACUUAGAGACAUGGAUGAGGCAGCCGCAGCUCAAGCUGAGCCGCAAACACCGUUGUGCUACAGAUGUAGAGCGUCAGAAACAUGGUGGUGUAAAUGUGGAAAUUGUCAAGCAAUGCCAACAGAAGAGGAGAGCAUUUGCUGUGUGGACUGGGACUUGUUGAUGCCACCACUGGAGGAUCUAAAUAUCUCCACUGAUGAGACCGAGAGCACUAGCCAAAGACUUUGUGUCACCCAAAACACGGAUUAUCCACCAUUACUGACCCGUGGCGUUCUGGAGAUGUUUUUCCAUGUGCCCAAAAUCAAUUGGAAAAAGAGGCCAAGACCCGCAGGACCAAACAACACGCUCUCUGCAGAUCAGUACAGGUUGGUGGCCUACCGUGUGGUACUCGAGUGGAUUCUGAAAGGCGAGAGACUUGGCAAGGACAGCAGAAGAGUUUUACCUGCCUGUAUUGUUACAAGCAUCCGUUCCAGCUACCCUUCACCAGAUGGAGUGUAUACUGGUUUCAAGGAGGCAGAGGCAGCUUUUGAACAGUUGUAAAGACUAUAAACAAAUCCUAAGAGACUCUUCCAUAUUAAUUUGUACUUCUUCAUUGUAUUUCAUAUUUUUUCCCAAAUCACAAACCUAUACUGCCUCAUUAUAGAUAUCAUUUCAGAAUUUAUGUAGCCGAUAACUGUAACCUUUCCUGUACUAUUGUGUUGUUUUGGAAAUAAACAAAAUGACUUUGGAUGGUAA